rnacentral:tmRNA from 1 species
GGGGGCGAUCUUGGUUUCGACGGGGGUUGCAAAGCGGAUGCGGGCAUACCAGGGUCUCAGAUUCCUGUAAAACACUGAAAUUUUAAUAGUCGCAAACGACUCUUCUUACGCUCUCGCAGCUUAAGCGAAGCCGCUGCAACGAUUGGUUAAUGGGUCGUGUGGGGCAACCCACCGCAGCGUCAUUGAACAUUAACUGGUUGGCUAUUGGGUUACUUAAUAGUCAAUAAGAUUUAAGGUAACGGGUUUUCUUUUCAGCCUGUCUGUCGGCGGUGAAGAAAAUGGGAUUGAAAUAGGCAAGACUAAGUAUGUAGAACGCUUCGUAGAGGGCUUUCGGACGCGGGUUCGAUUCCCGCCGUCUCCACCA